UAUCUUCCUCAUUUCUAUUUCCUCUUCCUGACACCAAGAGUCCAUCAGAACAUGUGACCUUCCUGCUCACAGCAUAAAGCUCGGCUUUCCCUGGUCUCUUAUAGCUUGGCUCAGAACCUAUAUCCCACCCAGGACCAAGGCACCACUUCAAUGACAGGUAGAGUAUCCAUUUGUUAUCUUAGAUGCCCAUGCUGAGAGAGUGCCCAUAAUAGCUAACAGUGCUCUGGAUAUGCCUAACUAACACUUAGAUCAUAGUUAGAGAUGAAGGGCUAAAGACAAGACAAGCGAACUUUUCCAUUGGUUUUCUGUUCUAGAACUUAUGAUAGCAGAAAGAAGAUGCAUGGUAAUUUCUAGCAAACUAUGGCCUUUAGAAGAUAAUCAUGUAGAAAUUAAAUGCUCUUCAGAGCCAGGAAUUAGGAGUUCCAAAUAGCAUUUUUUUUUGUCCUUUAUCUGUUACUAUUCUUUCAGUGAAUUGUUUCUGUAGUCUAAGAUUCAGUGUUUAAGACUCUUUUGCAAAGAAAAUGACAAAGAUGAGGUGCUGUCUAAUGUUUUAUUCUGUAUAUCUCUUAAUUUGAAGGUUAUCAGUCCUCUGCUGAGAAAGGAGAUGAGACUGAUGUUUGAAUUUAUACCUCUAGGCAGUGCUGAACACAUCCUGGAAAAUACUGGUGAUCUGAAAUGUAUGACUGAACAAUGAAUGCUCCUUUCUUUUCUAGUCUUAUACACCACUACAAUUUCAGAAUGUAAAGUCAGAGAGAAGCAAGUUUGGAAGUAGAAAGAGAACAAAUAUGUGAAGAGCAGAGGUCCAGAGAGAAGAAAAGAGGUGUGAACUGGACCAUCAAGAAUGAAAAUGAAACUGGCCUACAACCAGCUUAAUGACUAACUCCUUCCAUCAACCCUGGAAAACAGUGCACAUAUUCCAAAAUGUUCUUGCUGACAAGUGGAAGCACCUGACCUGGCCUUCUGCAGUGUCACGCUCCGUGUAUUUGACAAGCUGAGUUGGACACUCUGUGUGGUAGAGUGUCAGUUUGUCAAAUACCCCAAGUGUGGCUCAUGCCUAUCAGCUCCAGGCCCAGGACAGAGAAAAUAGGACACCAGACUAAGAAUCAUGCAGCUCUGGGGCCUACAAGUCUGAGAUGCAUCUAUGGACAUUGUGAAAAUGCCAUGGAAGGCACAAUGGUCUUGAAAAUACAUAAGGGAUAUGGAGUCGGGGGGUGGGGGGGAGUGUUAUUUGAUUGAUUAUUAAUGUCUUCAUUCACAUUCUUCUUCUUGCUUUUCUCUUUGCUUUUCUUCUUAAAACACCAUUCUUAUUUCUCUUUGUACACCCAGUUCUUCCCUGGACUUUCACACCCCACCAAAUUUCAAUUUCUCUGGGCACUUUGGAAAGUCAGUCUAUAUUU